AUUGAACGCUGGCGGCAUGCUUUACACAUGCAAGUCGAACGGUAACAGGCCUUCGGGUGCUGACGAGUGGCGAACGGGUGAGUAAUGCAUCGGAACGUGCCCAGAGGUGGGGGAUAACGCAGCGAAAGCUGUGCUAAUACCGCAUGUGAUCUGAGGAUGAAAGCGGGGGACCAGGCAGCAAUGUUUGGCCUCGCGCCUUUGGAGCGGCCGAUGUCAGAUUAGGUAGUUGGUGGGGUAAAGGCCUACCAAGCCGACGAUCUGUAGCUGGUCUGAGAGGACGACCAGCCACACUGGGACUGAGACACGGCCCAGACUCCUACGGGAGGCAGCAGUGGGGAAUUUUGGACAAUGGGGGCAAGCCUGAUCCAGCAAUGCCGCGUGAGGGAAGAAGGCCUUCGGGUUGUAAACCGCUUUUGUACGGAACGAAAAGGCUCUGGCUAAUACCUGGGGCUGAUGACGGUACCGUAAGAAUAAGCACCGGCUAACUACGUG
rnacentral:rRNA from 1 species